rnacentral:rRNA from 1 species
UUGCAGUUAAAAAGCUCGUAGUUGAACUUUGGCCCUGGCUGGCCGGUCCGCCUCACCGCGUGUACUGGUCUGGUUGGGGCUUUCCGCUUGGGGAACCGCAUGCCCUUUACUGGGUGUGUUGGGAAACUAAGACUUUUACUUUGAAAAAAUUAGAGUGUUCAAAGCAGGCAUAUGCCCGAAUACAUUAGCAUGGAAUAAUAGAAUAGGACGUGCGGUUC